rnacentral:lncRNA from 1 species
AUAACCUGACAUAUAGAGUGCAUCCACAGAUAUAUAAUAUCUAAGCACUACACUUACAUAAUGCAAACCACUUACCAUGUGUACUUUAAGGUAAGCGCUAUACGAUCUUAUGCAUAAACAUAACAACAAACUCACUAUGCUAAACAUAUAAUCAAAGAAGACAUUGAAUGUUGUAACCAAGAACAUGAACAAUAUAAAUACUAGUGUUGCAAUAAGCACACAGAGACGGUGGAGAAUACAAAUGGAGAGGGGUACAACCACUACUACAUAAAACUUGUACAAAGGUGAAUGUUUUUGAUUUUUGGAUGCGGGCAUAGAGAACCACCUU